ACUCAAAUGAAUUGACGGGGGCCCGCACAAGCAGCGGAGCGUGUGGUUUAAUUCGAUGCUACACGAAGAACCUUACCUGGGCUUGACAUGCGCGUAGUAGUGAACCGAAAGGGGAACGAGCCUUCGGGCAGCGCGCACAGGUGCUGCAUGGCUGUCGUCAGCUCGUGCCGUGAGGUGUUGGGUUAAGUCCCGCAACGAGCGCAACCCUCGUCGCUAGUUACAUGUGUCUAGCGAGACUGCCAGGUUAACCCUGGAGGAAGGUGGGGAUGACGUCAAGUCAGCAUGGCCUUUAUGUCCAGGGCUACACACACGCUACAAUGGUCGGUACAACGGGAUGCCAAGCCGCGAGGCGGAGCGAAUCCUCAAAGCCGGCCUCAGUUCGGAUUGGAGGCUGCAACCCGCCUCCAUGAAGUCGGAGUUGCUAGUAACCGCAGGUCAGCUAUACUGCGGUGAAUACGUUCCCGGGCCUUGCACACACCGCCCGU
rnacentral:rRNA from 1 species